AGGAUCCGAACCAGCGAAACCCUGGGCUGCCACAGCAGAGUGCAUGAACUUAACCACUCGGCCAGGGGGCCGCCCCUGCAGAAUUUUUUCUAUAGGAGACCAGAUAGUAAAUAUUUUAGACUUGACGGCCCUAUGGUCUCUGUUGCAACUACUCAACUCUGCCUUUGGUGUGCGAAGGCAGUCAUCGAUCAUAUGUAAAUAAGUGGAUAUUGCUGUGUUUCAGUAACACCUGUUUACAAAAACAGGUGGCGGGCUGGACUGGACCCACUGGCUGUCGGUCGCUGAUCUCUGCUCCGUGCCGUGACUUUGUUUUACUGUCACCCUACCGUUAAUUGCUGUCUGAAAUAAUCUCGUUUAUUUGUGUCUGACUUUGUCUUUGGAUCUAGAGUAUAAAUCCCGCGAGGGCAGGAACGAGUCCCUGCUCCUUGUUUAUCCUUAAAGAAGAGUGUAUCCUUCCUUUUGUUAUUCUUGUGGUCUCCUUAGCGCAUAGUACACACUCAUUUAACGUAUUUAUUAAGUGAAUGGCUGCUGGCACUCAUGGGAUUCCCGUCUUCAUUCAUUCUCCAGACACACGUUGCUCACCUACUCCGUUCCUUGCCUCGUAGGGAACAUCGGACACAGAGCUCCCAGCCAAAUAGACCUACAGACGUGGAAGCAAGUUAUGGAACAACGUGACAAGCCAAGGGGGGGCCCAGAAGUCAUGCUGCGUGGAAGAGCAUUGACUCUUAGCAAGGCAGAGGUGGCUGCUUGGAGGGAGUUGAGUCUGAGCUGAGUUUAAAGGGUGUAUUUAAGCUCUCUGGCUAGAGAGGCAGGAGCUGGAAGGGCGUUCACACACAGGGAACAGCCUGAGCGAAGGUGUGGUGGCGGGCACCAGUCUGGGGGUGUGUUGUGGGAAGGAAAAGCAGUUCAGGGUGGACGGAGUGAAUAGGGUCCAGGUGUAGCCACAGGUUGAAGGAACAGCAGCAGGUGAAAGUUAGGGGCCCGGUCGGAUGAGUUCUUGUAAACAGUUCACAGAGGGCCUUUUCUGGAAUAUGGACUGGGGUCCCGCACUUUAAGUGCGGCCUUUGGUUUCUGGGAACUGAAAAGUCACUCCAUAGAUGCUUAAGAAUUCUUUGUCCAUGGGUCUGACGGAAGCUGAUCGGCCUUCUCAUUUCAUCUGGCCUCGGCCAUUUACAGUUGGCCUCCAUUCGGACGGGAGCAACCCGGCGUCCUAUGGAAUUGGUAGGUCCAAGGAAAAUAGUUUCUUGGCUCUUAAAAUAGAUAGACAGUGUGAAUGAGCAGCCUUGCUGGCUCUCACCCUGCCUGAUCUGUGCAUCCAGAUCUCAUCAUUUGUCAGCGGGGAGUUAAAUACGCAGAGAAGGGGCAGCAUACGGUGGGGAAGAGUGGGGAAUAGCGGGCCCUGAAUAAAAUUUUGAGGUGGGCCAGCCCUGCUGUUUAUGAGGUGCUUAACAGGAAAUCAUUACCCGCAGAGCUAAAGACUGUUCCUCCUUGUCACCCUGGCACGGGGAAAAAUCCCCAAGACUUUGGGGACCCCACGUCCUGUUUCUAAGUCUUGGCCAAGCCCUCAUGAGGCUGGAGCCAAGUUCAAGGGUGGAGGCUGAUGCCGUCACAAGCCUCGGGGGGACUGCUCUGACAGGAGAGGGACAGGGAACAGACACUUACCAGCAACUACUAUGCGCCGGGUGGUGGUGUCCAUACCUACUGUGUGCACACAGGGUGAGGGUGGGUAUCUACGCACCUCAUUUUCUGUGUUUUUAUGGCAUCCAUGUAACAUUUUCCCCAGCAAAAGUGACUUAAUAUUUUUCUUUAAAUCCGCUCGCUUGUUACUUAACCUCAACAUUAAGCUAUAGUAUCCAUAAAAUCAUGGUAUUAAUGAAGCCUUAAUUAAUGUUUUCUUCCAAUAUACAUCCAUGUAUAAAUACUUAACUAUGGAAAUUUUUUCAAAAAGCUUUGUUCACGAGUCACAGGGAAUAACUUGCGUGCCAUGAUUUCUAGAAGACUCGUCCUUCUUCUGUUCGGUCCUCCUUGGUUUGCUAGGAGGUGUUAGUUCUUGCCUCUGUUUUAUAGAUGAGAAAAUGGAGACCCAGAGAAGUUGAGCUAGGAAGUGGCAGAGUCUGGAUUUGAACACAGAUAUUUCUGGCUCUGAAGUCUGAGUGAUAUGCACCACCUUCUCAGAGGAAGGAGAAAGGAGGAUGUCCACACGUCCCCUGGGUUGGAUGGACAAAUAUAAAGCUUCUUAGCCCAGGCACGACUGGUCGGACUGAGGCCCAGCAGACUUCCUGCCCCUCAUUGGGGGGCAAAGAUGGCUUCGGCCACUGAUGUCUAGAUUCCCGUGGAUUUUGGGCAUUGCAUCGUGGCCUGGUGAGCCUUUCGCCUUUCGUCAUUCCGGAAAAUAACAGUCAUCAAUAUUGACUCUUGCUCAAAAGCCCGGGAGAGAGAGGUGGGGGGAGGACAGCACACAGGACUGUCCCCACAGAGCCACAGCCCGGUGCCGAGGGCAGCAGGAGGCCCCCCACUUUGUAAUGGAGCCUCAUUACUAUUCAGUCCUCAUGGAAGGGCCUUGGAGGAAAAAAAUCAUCUUAAUGGGUUCUGAAUGAGCCCAACUGCCAGCCAUUGUUGGAAGGUGACAGGGAGCAGACUCAGGCUGCCCUUGAAGCAGGGCGGUGACGGCCCGGCACUGAGGCACUCAGCUCUGUCCUGGGCUGGGCAGUUUCACCUGGCAUCCGUCAACAGGCACCACGGCUGGGUGCGCAGACCCACCAGACAGGGAGGGCAUCAGCCCCCGUUUGGGGGUGGCAGAGGGAGGAAGUACCAGGUAGAGCUGGGGAGCCCAGCGAGGUCACCGGGAGAGCGGCAGGGAAAAAUCACUUCAGUUGGCCGUGGUGAUCGCCUUUUUCCUUAAAACUCUUAGGUUUCCCCAGGCUAAAGUCUCAACUCUGGACAGCUGAGUUGGUCACUGCCAGUCUGUAUGGGGCCUUUUCGGGGCUGGGAAGGCGCCCUGUUAGCAGAGGACUAGAGGAAUGCCUGGCUGGGCCGGUGCGGUCCUACCAUGCAGGACGUGGCGGGGACACUGGCUAGAUUUCAGCCCCCACUUUGCAGUCUGCAAACUGUGCAACCGUUCACAGCGGCCUCCAGUCGAUCUACCUUAUGUUUCAAUGAAAAGUAGGUGUUGCAGUUCGCUAUCGCUGUAUAACAAACUAUCUGAAAAUCUAGUGGCUUAAAACAACCGUUUUGUUUCGUUCUCAGUUUCGUGGGUUGGAAGGGCUCUGUGGGAGGUUUGUUUCGGCUCCGUGUGGCGGCAGCCAGGGCUGGAGGGUCGGCUUUCUAGGAUGACUUCUUCGUCCAUGUUUCUGAUGUCUUGUUCCUCCUCUACCUCCCUCACGUUCCGUGUUGCAUCUUGUCUUCCAGAGCCUCGUGUCGUGGCUUGAUUUUCGCAGCAUCGUGGUCUCAGGAGAGUGACACUUCUUAUGUGGCAGCUGGCCUCCAGGAGGCAGGAAUUGAAGGCUGCCACGAAUUUAAAGGCUGUGCCUAGAAUUGGCACAGCAUCACUCCUGCCAUAUUCUGUGGCUCAAAGUGGUCACAGGGCCCACCCGGAUUAUGGGGGCUGGAAAAAUAGACCCCACCCCUUGUUGGAAUGGAGAGGGGGGGUGUAGGUGGCAAGGUCACUUUGCAGGAAAGCAUGUGAGAUGGGUGAUAGAGUUGCGAUCAUCUUUGGAAAAUCCAGCCUGCCACUCCUUUAUUGGCAAGGAUUUUUCCGGAACCUUGCAAUGAUUCUUCUGUCCCUUAGCCUCCCAUCAAAAGGACAGUGAGAGGCGAGGCACAGGUGUAUUCUCUGAAGAUCAAAAUAUAUGUCUAGUUGUUAAUUUUCCACGGGCUCUUCAUGGAGUCCUAAUGUUUGAUUGGAAAGGUGACUAAUAAGGUAGACCAACUUGUAAAGUGUACACAGCCCCGGCGCGAGCACAGCCGUGGGGGAGGGACGCUGUGUACAUAUCCGGUGGUUCAAGCGCGCUGUUUCCAGAGCAGCUGGCUUGUGUUUUGGUGAGGUCCCAAAGACGAGGCCAUCUGGCUUGGGCCAACUCCCCUCCCUUCCUGGUGUUUAAAUCUGAAGUGGGUUUUAUUGAGUCAAUCAAGAAAGAUUCCGUUGUUGAAAUGGAGGCAAAAUCAGAGAGUAAAUUGAUGUUUUUGGUUGAAAUUUGCUUCCAGGCCAAGUCCUCGGGUCCUCAUUGGACAUUCGCCUCCCUUUAAAAAUAUGGUGUAACAAAUAAUAUGCACACCCAUCCAAGUGAACGUUUGGACCCUUAGCUAAAAAAAAAAAAAAAAAAUCUGGAUAAUUAGCCAAGCACGUUGUUUUGGACUGUGCUAAACCUUGCCAAGAACAAUAAAAAGAGAUGUUGCAUAUUAAUUAUUAUCGGAGAGGAGUUACUCCAUUCGCUUGAGGUGUUCCUCAUGUAACGGGGCUGGAGCUAGAAGGCAUGGUUUGCAGCCUCGGCUCUGUCACUUACUAGCCGUGACAUUGGGCAGGUCACUGGUACCUACUCUGAGCCUCACUUUCUUCGUCUGCAAAAUGAAAACAGCCAUACCUAUUCUCCGUAAUCCUGGGACAGUCCGAAGAAUAAAACGACACAAUACUGUUUUUUAAAAUUGCUUUGUGAGUUCAAGAGUGGCUCACACAUCGAGCCGUUACAGGUAAUAAUAAUUAGCACAGCCAAUUUCUGUUGCCUGAGAAUUAACAUUGGCCAGGCCUUUGUGGCUCGUUGAAAAAUUAAAUGUAUAGAGUCUAUAAUUAUUUUAAAAUGCAAAGUUUAAAAAAUUAGCAGUAUAACCCUGACAUUGAGAGUUUGGGGACAGGCCAUAAUUUGUGCCCCGUGCCUUGUGUAUGUAAGUUCAAUUAUUUUGCCAGUUUUUGGCUAACCUAGCAGCACUUUCUGAAAUUCAAGGCUUGAUCCCGGGAAGACAAGAGAGUCAGCCAUUCGACAGUGUUUUGCUGCUUUGAGUAAACAUCACCCAGUCAUUGAGCCCGGUUGUUGAAUGGGCUGAUAUUAAUGAGUGGAUUCCUCUCAUUGUAACAGACAUAGCCUCAGUUAUUUAUCAACAGAUAGUUCACUGAGGGCCGCCCCCGGGGAAAUUCUCUUUCCAUUGAGCUGCCUCAGUGGUUUCCGAAUACUGCUUUCAGGGAACGUUGCUCUCAUGAGCUGGCCAAGGGCACCCCCUACUCAAAUCCGGGGGAGCAGGCUCCCCCACUCCCCAUUUACAGAAGGAAAAAGGAGGUCAGUGGAUCAGACUUUUCUCUGUAUUAAGUGUUUUGCUGUCACUUUUUCUUACCUUUUUGGCCCCUGAACUUGCUUGACCGUGCCAAAAUAGAGUGAAAGAUGCUGUCUAUGAUCCAACGUCAAGUACUGAGAGUCACAUCUGUCGGAGACGUUGCCCGUUUCACUCCUUAGUGGGAGACCCUCUGUGUUACUCUGUUCCAGGGAUGGGCGAAUCUGGCCCGCUGUCUGUUUUUGUAAAUAAAGGCUCAGCGGAACACGGCCACACCCAUUCCUUUUCGCAUCGCCUCUGGCAGUGUUCUCCCUAGGGCAGAGUUCAGCAGUUAAGACAGAGGCCUUCUGGCCGUAUUUAUGUGGCCCUUUCCAGAAUGAGUUUGUCAUCCUCCGUGCAGACCCACGGUGAGCGGGUGACAACACAAGAGCAAGCUUCUUUUUCCCUUUGAGCUUCCCCUGGCGUAGAGAGCUGCAGAGGCCACCAUUUUGUUGUGACAAGGCUCAGGUCAAGCAUUCCCCUUUCCCUCCCAAACCUGUAGCAAAUGUGAUAGACAGGAAGUAAAGUGGUGUUUUCCUUUUCAAGGGAAUAUUAGGUGAUAGUUUAAAAGAAAAGGGAAGGGGAAUUUGGAGUUACGUAACCUGGUUCGAAUCCAGCCUCCACCAUUAGUUAUUCACUCAUUCAGUUCUUUAUUUAAUUAAUAGAUAAUAUAUUUAUUAAGCCCCUGGUCAUAGCUGCUGCCUCCCGUAUGUACAUCUAAGGUGUGAGCAACGUCGUCUUGGAUCCUGUGGGGUCCCGGUCAUCUAUUGCUGUGUAACAGAUUGCUCCCAAUCUUAGUGGCUUAAACCGUUAUUUAUUAUUCUCUCUUGGAGUUUUGGGGUUGGCUGGGCUUAGCUGGACUGUUCUCCCUUGGGUUCUCGCAUGUGUUACGGGCAGAAAUGGGCUGGGGCUGCCAGCAUCUGAAGGUUCGGCUGGGGUUCAUACCCGGCGCGUCUCAUUCGCAUGGCUGGCCGUUAGUGCUGGCUGGGGGCUGGGAGCUGCCAGCAAGAGCACGUGUGUGGCUUGGGCUUCUCCGGCAUGGUGGCUGGGUUUCGAGUGGGAGUUUCCAGAGAGUGACUGUUCCAGAGUCCCAGCUGGAGCUUCUCAUAACCUAGGCCCAGUGGUCUCAGAACAUCCCUCAUUCCAUGGGUCACAUUCCAUGGGUCAGAUGUGUCACUAAGGCCAGCCCAGUUUCAAGGGGAAUAAGACCCCACCUCUCCAUGAGGGUGAUGUCAAAGAGGUUUUGGCCCUCUUGAAUCUGAUACAUGGUGCCUGGGGAGCCAGCACACAGUGGCUCUUGUUAGAUUGUAACUUUAAUAAGUCCUGAUGCAGAAAAGCAAGCCCUGAUGAUAAGAGCUUUUAUAGGGUGGUUUGGUCUGGAGAAAGGCCAAAGAAGGCUUCUUGGCAGAUGAAUAAGGUAGAGAUGUGAAGGUAGUGGAGAUGUGAAGGUAGUGGAGUCAACCGAGUGAAGAAGGGAGAACAGAGUAAUAGAGGCACGGGGAAACAGCCUGUGCAAGUGUCCUGGGGCAGGACUGCAAGAAGGCUGGUAUAGCUAGAGCUGAGAGAGUGAGGGGAGCGUGGUUGAAGUUAAGGCUUACUAGCUGGAUGAUGAAGGUCAUAAUUCCUAAUCUCUCCAACUUCAGUUUUCUCAGUUAGGAAAUAGGAUAAUAUUUACUGCAUGAGGCUAUUGUGGGGAUCAAUGAAGAAUAAGUCAGGAAAGCCUGGCACAGUGAUAUUUUCUUUUCUCUGGGAAGUGGUUAUUAGCAAAUAAAGGAAGCAUACCUGGCCCCUCUUUGUUAACCCCUUGUCACACAUUAUCUCCGUUCUCCAGCACCAAAGCUGAGCCCGCAUCCCAUACCUUUAGAGUUGCAAGCUAUCCAUGAAGUGUUACCUAAACUGUUAAGUGCAGUCCAGGGGCUUGUGAAGGCUCCAAGUGAACUUAAAUAUCACCUGGUCAUUAUUUGAUUUUUAAAGCCACACCAGUCACCCCCUCAAGAGCACAUGUGGGUGCUGCACAAAGGUUAGAUUUCCUCACUUGCCUUCAGUGCUCAUUUGCAUGACUUUUUCCUGAACCCCUCAACCCCACCCAGCCGGCUGUAGUUAACACACCUCUGCAUUCUCACUUCCUUGUUUUAAGGGGCAGUUUACGAUCAGGCAGGUGUGGACUGUGCGGGGCCGUGGCUGGCAGGGGCAGCAGCAGAGAGCUCUGUGAAUCCGUCCUGCUCUCCUGCAGAACUCAGAGCCUAAAUUCUGGCCCUUGAGGAGCCUGUGGCGGGGGGGGGCACCGUUGACGUUGCCCGCAGGGCUGCAGCUCCCCCAGGGCCGUUCUCAAAGCAAGCGUCUGCUGAGGGGUGCCAGGCCUCCGGCCACGCAAGCUGGACCCCAGCGAGAUUUCCCCUUGUUCUCAGACACUCCCGGGUGCCUUCUAUACUCCGUCCUGGCAUGGGCCCCAGGGACAUGGUGGCGAAGGGCCAUAUGGCUGCCCUCAGGGAGCUCACAGUCUGUUGAGCACAGGAAUUUACUUUUCCCCCCAAAAUUCCCCAGAGGAGUGGAGUGCAUCCUCUCCACUAACUAAGUCAGGGAAAGGCCAAUUCUGCAUUCCGUAGUCACGGGCUUCUGUUUCACCCUGAAAUAGCUUGGUGGCUGAGGAUCUCAUUCUCUGCCCCAGGGGCUCCCUGUGGCGGUGGGCAUUGGCCAUGGGUGGACAGUUUUGGUUGUCAUGACCAGAGGAGUGGUGAUCCUGAUGUCUAGUGGGUAGAGACCAGGAAUGCUGCUAAACGUCUUACAGCGCACACGAUGGGCUGCCACAGCAAAGAAUGUUCUGGUACAAGAUGUCAGGAAUGAUGAGUAGAGGGGGAAACUCUGCUCUCCUCUUGUCAUCUACCGCUCUCCGCUCUCCUCUUGCUUCUGAGUAGCCAUCACUCCGGCCUUCUGGCCAGACGUGCCAAGCCCUCGCUUAUUCGGAGUCUUCACACCUGCAGUUCCCUCUGCCUGGAAUAUUCUCGACAGAGACCUUCGAGGCCCCCCCGGGCUGUCUCUGACCACGGCAGCAUCUACCAUCAUCCUCUUCUCUCAGUCUGCACCGCUCUGUUCAUUUCUGCGAUUUUCCCAUCUGACCCUCUCUCCCACGAGCCUGUAAGAUCUAUAAAGACGCUCCUCGAAGCCGUGCUGCUCACUGCCGUGUCCUCGGCCCCAGCCCAGCGCCUGGCACGUAGCUCAAUGUAUAUUUGUUGAAGUCAGGGGACAGGAAAUGGGGGAGGUUGAAAGUGGGAAGAGGAGAAGAGAGUUUUUAGAAUCAGAAAUCCUGGCCGCGUGCACUGGUUCCCAGCUUUGUGAUUCGGGGAAAACUUAGCCUCUCUGAGCCUCAGUUUUCUCGUGUGUAAAAUGGGGGUGGGUGAUCAUCAUCCCCGUCUGGUUGGCUGGCAUGUGAGGCCGGUUUUUGGUGUUUCUGCCAGGUGCUGCGAGUGCUGUCGGGCGAGUAGUGAGUGCUGAAUGAAAGGUAGAAUCAUUGGGAUGGUUUUCCCUCCACGGGGGCGGGUACCAAUUCCCUUGACUGUCUGAUUGGAAGGGGGAGCGAGGAUGCUAGCAGUUAAUGCCCGCACGGUGCUCCCUCCGCACUGGGCGCAUUCCUCCUUAACGUACUUGAAUCCUCAUCCACCUUCUGUUGUCGCGAGUCCACUCUGCACGUGAGGAGUCGGCCGUGCGGAGUGGGAACAGCUGGGCAGGGCCCACGCUGGGGAGGUGGCAGAGUGGCAUUCGAACACACCCAGACGAUCUGGCUCCUGAGUCUCAGCCAGGGCACCACGCUACCCUCUCUGAUUUGUUUUUCACGCUUGGCAGAAACGUUCUUUUUCUCGUUUCUCACUACAUGUGUCAAGGCUUCCUGUGGUUGCGGGCAAGACUAGCUGAUUGGGUAAACGGAGUGAGGGGGGGUGCAGGACACUCAUAAGGAGACCCACCCACACGUCUACCCCCUGUUCUGUCCCCGGGUCUUAAUUCAUAAAGGUGGCUAAAUGAUGCGCAGAGGGGCCCAUGCCAUUGAAAGAAAAGUUUCUUGUUACUCACGGUUCCCCUAGAAACGAGGGGCGUGGCCACCGCGAGGGGCCACGGGAGGAAAGGCAGGUUUUGGUGAGGAAGUGGACGACAGGAGGGAGGGGAUCGCCUAGGCCAGAGCCUUCGUUGGGGUUUCUGAGGGAAGGCAGGCAGAGCGGAGUAAACAGCGUAGGGUUGGCUAGUUUGAAUAGUCCGGAGGCCUCUGGGCUCUGGGACCGGUCUCUAGUUGCCUGAUGCUUGGCCCUGGGAUGGAUGAUUUAGGGCAGAGGAAAUACUGGCUUGUGAAGGUGGUAGUUGAGGGGUAUAGACUAGGAAUUGGUUGGUUUGUAUAUAAAAGGUGUGCUCUUGGCUGAUCCUUUGUUAGCGUUAAGAAUUGGCUGGAGGGGCAGUCUCUCCCGGGGUCUAUAAGGCCCUCAAAUGCCAGAGCAUCAAGAAUAUAGAAAAGAAGAAAAUUGAGUUAAUAUCAUUGGCCCUGUGAUGCCUGGAUGCCAUCUAGACAAAGACAGAAUCUAAGAAAAUGCAAUGGGAACAAGCAACCCCUUCCUUGCCUGUGCGUGAGCAUGGGGUGCAACUGGUGGGGAGUCCUGGGAGGGUGUGGAGCCAGCCUCUGGGUCCCCCCAAGUGCAGAGCUGUGUGGUGUUAAUACACAUGAGUAUCUCGUCAGCAGAAAUGCCACCUCGUUUCUGAGCAGUGUCAGGUCCUGGGGUACAACUAGACCGACUGUUACCCUGCCUCUCUGUGGGCUGUAUGCAUUGAGUGCCUACUGUGUGUCAGGCUCUGCUAGGCACUGGGGGUAUAAUGGUGAGCAAUUAGGCACCAUCCCUGACUUCCCAGAGCUCGCAAUCUACUGGGGCAGACAGGUUCAUGAAAGUGUGCAUAGGUGGCCUGGAUCAGUCUGGGGAAUCAUGGAAGUCUUCUUGGAGGAAGUGGCAUUGUAGCUGAGUUCAGAAGGGUGUUCUGAGAACGUGUGGUGUGAGCUGGAAGAAUGGGAAACAGGAUUUAGGAACCACAGAGUGCACUUCUCUCCCAGCACUGAUGGCCCUGCAAAUAUCUCUAUUCCAAGAACAGCACUGACACUGCCUUCAGGCGUGCAAAGCUGGCCCCUUCGAAGGUUGGAUUGCUCUGCGGGGUGCACCUUGCCUCAUGGUGUAUCCAAGCUCGAGGAAAAUGGGAGGAGUGUCACUUUAUAUAUUCAGCCUCUAGCUCUGCUCAGCUCAUGUUAGUUGCUGGAGUCAGUGACUGAACAGAAAUGAAUUAAUGGUCUGGAUUGCAAAUCAGGUGUAGGAUUUGACAAGUUGGAUGCCCCUCCCUGCCUCUCCCCAACAGUGGGACCAGCAGGAAAACAACCUUGAACCUGUAGGUACACCCCCGUUGAGGUGUUCUUCUGAGAAAGCAAGCAUCAUUAGAUCCCCUUGGAGCUCCAUCAGUUGGGCCACCUUCCAAGAUGGCGGGUGUAGUUGACUGGGAGAGCCAAAGUAUGAGACCACCCCGUUUCCAUCCGAGUCGGAAAAGAACUUUGAUUCCUUGGCUUCUCCAGAGCCCCUCUGCCCUCUCCCUUCCUUCCUCCCCCGAGAGAGGCUGAUCUUAAAUUGAGUCUUUUCCCCCCCCACCCCUUAGGAUUUGCAAGGUUGGAAUGCGGUUGCCGUGACGUUUAAUCUGUUUACCUGGGUUUUAUUCUGGCCUCUAAGUACAGAGUGGGCAGUGAGGCCAGGCUAAGGGGUUAAGCCUGGGAUUCUGGAAUCUUUGGGGGGGGGGUGUGUGUGUAUGUGCGCACGCACCAGGACCACCUCACAUGGACCUGAACCUUAUGCCCUCCCCACCACCCACCUCCAGGGGUGCUGUUCACAGUUUCUCAUGGGAGUGAGACUCGGCUGAACAGCGGUCAUGAGCACAUGGGCUCCACCUCAUCAGGGGCCCUCGGAGUGUGUGGCCGGGGCUCGCUGCCUGUUCCCGCUGUUCAUGGAGAUGCUGAGGAGUCACUGGGCGGGAGAAUGAACUUCGGGUUAAAGCCUGUUUGUUCUUAAACAAAUUGAGUUUUCUGUUUUCCACGGUGUCGUGAAAAGGGAAGAGGGCUUGGCCUCCUGCCCGCGUGCAGGGUGCCUGGAGUUGUCCACACCCCUCCCUCUGUUCUCAGCGUCCUUCCUGCACCGUCAGAACCUCGGGGGGCUCUCGUUCUGCUCAGGAGGGUGAGGGGAAGCCGCGUCUUUAUUCUUCUUGGGGAGGGGACUCAAGGAGGGUUUUGAGAAUCUCUGCUCCUGACCCCGUGCUUGCCUGCCACUUUGAGGAACUCGUCCGCUGUGGGUUGAAUUGUGGCUCCUCAAAUGGUCCUGUGGAAGUCCUCCCUUCAGGACCUCAGAACGUGACCUCCAGGAUGUGAAAUAGGGUCGUCGCAGACGUGGUUAGUUCCGAUGAGGUCCUACUGGAGUCAGGUGGGCCCCUCAUCGCAUAUGACCCGUGUCCUCGUCAAAAAGGGGAAUUUGGAUGCAGACACGCACACGGGGUGAACACCACGUGAAGAUGAAGGUGACGGGGUGAUGCUUCUCCCGGCCAAGGAACCGGGAAGAUGGGCAGCACCCACCGGAAGCUAGGAGGGGGGCAGGGAACAGAUUCUCCACCCCCAGCCUCAGAAGGAGCGCCCCCUACGCACACCUUGAUGCCCAACUUCCAGCCUCCAGAACCGUGAGACGGCACAUCUCUAUUGUUUAAACCAUUCUGUCUGUGGUCCUGUGUCACGGCAGCCGUAAGGAACAGACGCAUUAUCCGAGAGCCUUGGUUGACCGCCAUCCACCCGCCCCCGGACAAAAUGACUCGAGUGUAUGUAUAAUGCCACCCAGGCCCUGGGUGGGCCCUUAACCCCACCCCCGCCCCACCUAGGUUCCAGCACCUGCCAGCAAAGCAUCGGCCUUGUGUUGUCAGCGUGCAGCUCCCACCCUCCCGGUUAGACUGUGAACCCAGAGGGGAGCCACGCCUCGCUCCGUGACCUGCUUCCAGCAGCUGCUCAGUCAGUGCUGGCUGGGCUCCUUAGAGUUGUGGCCUCUGACCUCCGAGGCCUGCCCACUUCUUGUUCUUGUUUCUCUAGCGUUUUACCCUCUAGCCUCCUUAGGCCUGUGGUGAGCACAUGCUCCUCCAUCUUCAGGCGGCCUACGUGGCUCCCAGAUCUGUAUUCUCUGCAAAGGCCUUGUGUCUGCGAGAGAGCUCUGCACACUGUGGAGUGCCCGAGACAGAUCCCCGUGGGGACUGAUCCUUUGUUCGAGUGUCUGAAGAGGGGCAGUGAGCUAGAAUCAGAGGCCCUGGUUCCUGUCCAGCUUUAUCAUUUCCCAGCUGGGCGCUCUUAAGGAUGUCCCUUAACCUCUCUGAUCCUCGAUUUUCUCAUCUGUAAAGUGGUGAUGAUUGCGCUACCUCCUGGGUUGGUAGUGGACCAAAGAAUGUGUGGGAGAGGCCUUUGACAGCAGUGGAAGGAGGGCCAUAGACACAGAACCCAUUGGAAACAGGCGAGGGAAGCAGGUCUGGUGGGAUCAUGGUGAGCUGGAGACCAGGCACUCCAUCAAAAGGGUGCUCAGUGAGAGGGUGGGCCUCCCGUGUACCAGAAGGUCAGAAGUCUUAAUAGAAGUCAGAAAAGCAGAUUGUCAUGAGAUAUGCCAGUCUUCCAUGUCGUCUCCAGUGUUUUUAAGCACCACGAGGGCCAUACAGAACAGGUUUGUGGACUGUUUCUGGCCCCAUGAGCCACCAUUUGGUGGCUUCUGCCCUAGAAUUUGAUAUAGGUAGGGUUCCGUGACAGUGCUUGCUUCCCUUCUGUUCCCUGAAUCUGCUGGUCUAAGCAUCCUCUUUGAGAACUCUGUGAAAAGCAAGAAUUAGGAAAAAUUAGGUUGUCACCUCCUCCGGGAAGCCUUCCCUGAUCUGAUCCCUCCCAGUUUGAAUUGGCUCAGGGGUGAGCAAACCUCUUCUUAAAGGUCAUGGAUAGUAAAUGUUUUAGAAGUUGAGGGCCCUUCAAUCUCCUUGGUGACUACUCAGCUCUCUGUCUGCAGUGGGAAAGCAGGCAGAAAUGAUAUGUAAAUGAAUGGGCGUGGCUGUGUCCCAAUAAAACUUUAUUUACAAAAACGCCCUACUUUGCGACCUUUUCCGGAUAGACUGGGACGGUCUGCCUGCUGCAGGGAUGCACCUCCAGACUUUUCCAAGCAGGUUCUUCUUUUCCCCUGGCACCAAGAAUCUGGCAGCUGACGGCUGGGGGUGGGAGCUCUGGUUUGGGCUUGCUUGGGGCCGACAGGGAACAUCGGGUCCUCUUAGGGGCCCUGAAAUCGGACAGACCCACGACAACGUGGAUCUCUCUGCCCCAGUGCCUUGUGAACCAUCCCAGCCUCCCCCUGCCCAUCGGAGGGACUCAUGAGCAGAAUCUCCCAUUAACUGAUGAACAGAUGAGAGGAACAAAGAGGACCCGCGUGGUCUGGGUCCCUCCUGGAAGGGUCCCUGAAGAAUUCCCCGUCAAUAGGGUAAAUUGAUUCCUAUUUGAAAAGCCCUUCAGAGGUUUCACUGUAUUUAAAGGAACCUCCGAUGGGAGUCGUCUGUGCUGUGAACCAUCUCCUGGUAGGGCCCCUGCUUUUUAGAGCUUUGGCUUCGGUUUAACUGGGGCACCUGUCUUGUCCUGUACUUCUGUCAGCAGCGCUCACAGUAUCAGAAUGAGUCAUAAUAAUGAUUAGGAUGAUUUAUAGUGAAACCUCGCUGUGUGCCAGGCACUGUGCCAAAAUGCUUUCUAUCCACUGUCUCAUUUGACCCUUUUAAUUCCUCGAUGGGCUAGGUGCUGACUUUUUUUGCCUGUGGGUAAACUGAGGCACGGGGAGGUUAAAUAAGUCAGGGAGGGUGGGGCUGCUGUCUCGUCCUCCAGAGCAGCUGUCCCAGACACGGGCCUCGAGGCUGGAAUGGUUGUCACCACUGAUGUGGUGGGCAGUGUGGGCUCCACCUGUGCCAUCCAGCCUCAUGGUCACCAGCCACAUGUGGCUACUGAGCACUUGAAAUAUGGCUAGUGUGAUGAGAAAUUGGAUUUUUAAUUUUAUUUCAUUUUAAUUUAAAUUUCAAACCUGAUCCAGUUAUGGGAAAGCUUUUAAAUAUGGUUGGAAAAACUGGAGUCUGAGAAUUGAUUUUUUCAUUUGACAUUUUUAUAAACUCUAAAUACGGAGUGUGUAUUUCUUUUGCUUUCUUC